ACUUUCAGUCGUGAGGAAGGUGUUAAGGUUAAUAGCCUUAGCAAUUGACGUUAGCGACAGAAGAAGCACCGGCUAACUCCGUGCCAGCAGCCGCGGUAAUACGGAGGGUGCGAGCGUUAAUCGGAAUUACUGGGCGUAAAGGGCACGCAGGCGGUUAAUUAAGUUGGAUGUGAAAUCCCCGGGCUUAACCUGGGAAUGGCAUUCAAGACUGGUUAGCUAGAGUCUUGUAGAGGGGGGUAGAAUUCCAUGUGUAGCGGUGAAAUGCGUAGAGAUGUGGAGGAAUACCGGUGGCGAAGGCGGCCCCCUGGACAAAGACUGACGCUCAUGUGCGAAAGCGUGGGGAGCAAACAGGAUUAGAUACCCUGGUAGUCCACGCUGUAAACGAUGUCGAUUUGGAGGUUGUGGUCAAGAACUGUGGCCUCCGGAGCUAACGCGUUAAAUCGACCGCCUGGGGAGUACGGCCGCAAGGUUAAAACUCAAAUGAAUUGACGGGGGCCCGCACAAGCGGUGGAGCAUGUGGUUUAAUUCGAUGCAACGCGAAGAACCUUACCUACUCUUGACAUCCAGCGAAUCCUUUA
rnacentral:rRNA from 2 species